rnacentral:lncRNA from 1 species
AAAAAUAAAUAAAUAAAUAAAUAAAAACCUCGAUGAAUACAAUUUCAGGUACAAAAUUGCAGUAUUUUUUAUAAAUAAAAGCCAUAAGCCUACAGAUGAAGUGAUGUACAAAUAAAUUAUAACAUUUUUAUGCCAAACCAAAAACGAAGCAAUAGGUAAUCAUACUGAAUCAUACUCUAUUCAUAAUUCAUUAAAACGAACAAAAGUUCUUCCCAUCAGAUCCCCAGUACGAGGGAUCCAAAUAUUCCACAUCAAUG